rnacentral:rRNA from 1 species
CUACGGGGCGCACCAGUGAGGAAUAUUGGUCAAUGGGCGAGAGCCUGAACCAGCCAUCCCGCGUGCAGGAUGACGGCCCUAUGGGUUGUAAACUGCUUUUCCAUACCAAGAAACCUGAUUACGUGUAAUUAGUUGCCGGUAGUAUGGGAAUAAGCAUCGGCUAACUCCGUGCCAGCAGCCGCGGUAAUACGGAGGAGGCAAGCGUUAUCCGGAUUCAUUGGGUUUAAAGGGUGCGCAGGUGGGCUUGUAAGUCAGUGGUGAAAUGUUGCCGCUUAACGGUAAAAUUGCCAUUGAUACUGCAAGUCUUGAAUAUAGUUGAGGUAGGCGGAAUGUGUUGUGUAGCGGUGAAAUGCAUAGAUAUGACACAGAACACCGAUUGCGAAGGCAGCUUACUAAGCUAUUAUUGACGCUGAGGCACGAAAGCGUGGGGAUCGAACAGGAUUAGAUACCCUCGUAGUC